AAAGGGUCAGUCAUCCCUAAGGAAACAGUCUUUGUAAUGGAUUGAGCAGCUCCUCCAGCCAUCUGAAUCACCAGUGGAUAAUACUAGCCAUAACAAUCAUAACUGAAUGAAAAGGUCUCUUUCAACUUGAUUGGUUGUGGCCCAAGGAUUAAGCUUCCUGCGGGCAUUCCCUCCUGAUUGAAAGGCCUUUUUGGAUGGAAGAAAAUGGAGCUGAAGCAUCCAAUUGACACGAGGGUCAUUCAACAAAGGAAGAAACAAAAUUGGGAAGAAAAGAGGAAUUUUCUUCCUUUGCUCCUCUUCCACCACCACAGUAUGACAAACGCUGGAAGCAUCUAAUUUAAGUCAGUUGCAAUAUUGGAUUACAGCCUUAUUUUCAGGUUAAAAUUAUCUAUGGCAAGUCAAGAGCCUUGAAUUUUGUCCAUGCUCAGUAAGCAUGUGAUAAUGAUGAUGUGAGACAGCUUGGCAUACCAGGAAGAACACUGGAUGCAGAGUCCCAAGGCCUUGGUCUUAACCACAGAUUCAGGACUUAAGAGAACCUCAGCUGCUUCAUCUUUAGAAUGGGAAUGAUGAUACUUGUGUUCCAUACCUCACUGGCUUGGUGUGAGAAGAAAAUGAGACCACUGUCUUCAAUCCAAUAUGGACUUCAACAACAAACCGCAAAACCAUGGAUUUGGCUUCAACCAACGAAGCCCACCAUUCAGGUGUACCCAUCCUUCAUGCCUUCUAUGUUCCAGAGAGUUCAUUACAUGGGGUUUCCCCCACUGGAAGCAAGUGGGUAUAUGUAUAUAUGUGGCAGCAAAAUUUAAGAAACUUGAGAACACUAAAUAUUUAACUAGUCACAAGGCUAUAAAUUGAUUAGUGCCCGGUCGCUGAACCUCAGAAUCCAACACUUAGAAUGCCUGGAAUGUUUGGAAGAGACUUCAGAGGCCAUCUCACUAACCUCACUUUGCAAAUGAUGCAACCCACCCAGAGGGUUGAAGUACCACAACUGGAACCCAUCAUCUCAAUGCACUCCCUAGUUCAGAGCUUUUUCCAUUGCUCCUCUCCCCUCC